rnacentral:sRNA from 1 species
UUUCCGUAGGUGUACAAGCGAAAAGAUCAUCAAGGAGUGAGGGCCCUAUGGGUCCAACCUCCCACCCGUGUUUAACCGUACCUUGUCGCUUCGGCGGGCCCGCCUCACGGCCGCCGGGGGGCUCUUCUUCCCCCGGGCCCGCGCCCGCCGAAGACACCUGUGAACGCUGUUCGAAGUAUGCAGUGUGAGAAAACUAGAUAAAUUAGUUAAAACUUUCAACAACGGAUCUUUUGGUUCCGGCAUCGAUGAAGAACGCAGCGAAAUGCGAUAAUUAAUGUGAAUAGCAGAAUUCAGUGAAUCAUCGAGUCUUUGAACGCACAUCGCGCCCUCUGGUAUUCCUGAGGGCAUCCCUGUCCGAGCGUCAUCGUUGCCCUCCAGCACGGCCCGUGUGCCGGGCCCUCGUCCCCCCCGGGGCCGGCCCCGAAAGGCAGCGGCGGCACCGCGUCCGGUCCUCGAGCGUAUGGGGCUUCGUCACCCGUUCGUUAGGCCCGGCCGGCCCAGCCGACCCCCCCUCAAUCUUAACCAGGUGACCUCGGAUCAGGAGGAUCAAGA